rnacentral:tRNA from 1 species
GCAAAGGUAGCUUAACCAGACUAAAGCAUAGAACUGAAAAUUCUACAAAGAGGGUUAAAGUCCCUCCCUUAGCA